AGGUAUCUAUCUGGGAACCCUGUGUGGGUUCUGAGGUAUCAGAACAGGACCAGAGAGAAACGCUGCUCAGGAUCAGCUGUGAUGUCUGAUACUGUCUAACUGUCCUCCAAACUCACUGAGAGGAUUACACAGAGAUCAAUUAGCUACUGCUCUCUCUCUCUGUGUGUGUGUGUGUGUGUGUGUGUGUGUGUGUGUGUGUGUGUGUGUGUGUGUGUGUGUGUGUGUGUGUGUGUGUGUGUGUGUGUGUGUGUGUGUGUGUGUGUGUGUGUGUGUGGUAUAUCAAUUAGUGAUUUAAAGGAGGCGAGGUACGAUGGGGGAGGGAAGAGAUAGACACCAAAGAGCACAGAUCUACUUUCCGCCUGGCAGAGAGUGUGUGUGUGUGUGUGUGUGUGCGUGCGUGCGUGCGUGUCCCGACAGGAUAGAUCAGAUCUCCUCCACUGAUCUGACCCUGUUGUACAGAGAGAGGUCAGGACAGACCGCCUACUAUCUCUCCAAUGACAGUGGAUUCCCAAGUUAAACCGUGGCAUCACCUCACUGUGGUUCUGUCUGCCUAAUGCCAGAGUCAUAGAGGUAUGUAGAGGGAGGGAUGUGGUUCUGUCUGCCUAAUGCCAGAGCCAUAGAGGUAUGUAGAGGGAGGGAUGUGGUUCUGUCUGCCUAAUGCCAGAGUCAUAGAGGUAUGUAGAGGGAGGGAUGUGGUUCUGUCUGCCUAAUGCCAGAGUCAUAGAGGUAGGUAGAGGGAGGGAUGUGGUUCUGUCUGCCUAAUGCCAGAGUCAUAGAGGUAUGUAGAGGGAGGGAUGUGGUUCUGUCUGCCUAAUGCCAGAGUCAUAGAGGUAUGUAGAGGGAGGGAUGUGGUUCUGUCUGCCUAAUGCCAGAGUCAUAGAGGUAUGUAGAGGGAGGGAUGUGGUUCUGUCUGCCUAAUGCCAGAGUCAUAGAGGUAUGUAGAGGGAGGGAUGUGGUUCUGUCUGCCUAAUGCCAGAGCCAUAGAG